AAUCCAGAAUGCUUCUGCUUUAAAAUACUGGUGUGGGAGUGUAGUCUCAGGGGACUACAAUGCCCCAGACGGGUCCCUGGUGGUGGUGGUCUUCGUCUCCUGAGUAAAACCAGUUGUCUGCACCAGUAUUCGUCCCUUCCCAGAAGUCCUCCUCCAGGGAAAGUCUCUACAGUUCUCCCAAGACACUAAAGUUUCAAACUAGUUUCUUUAGUCCUGUAUUACGUCCAACAGUUGUCUUCAAGCGGCACUCUUGUCCUUCCAACACCUUCCUGCACUGGAAGUGCCCCAGCUUCCCUUCGCCCCUCACCCCCAGCUUGUCUCCCGGCCUUAAAGGCCGCAGGGAACUACACUCCAUCCUGUGGAAUACCUGAUGCAUGAAACAACGGCUGGUAAGAACUGUGCGUAAAUACUGAUACCUACAGCUGGGAUCAAGUUAACUCUUACUGCUAGUCUUGGCAGAGGGUUCCAGCUAAUUAAUAUCAAGGAUAAGGAAGCCUUCAGUCAGAAUGUGAUCCAGUUCAUGUGGAGAAGCGACUGAGGGCGGGGCGAGGGCCUGGAGGUGGUCAUCCGGGUACACUGUCCUGCACCAACUGGUCUCACUGGAGGGCUCGGGUGACAACAGGGAAGGCCAAGAGGACCGUCUCGGGCUACUGAAGAACAUCUAUAACGAAGGCAUAAAGUGGCAGGACAUUGCCAGCAUGUCAGUCUGUCGUCUGUGGGACCAGCCUGAGAUAUAUAUUUUUGCCAGAAAAUGGCCUCGUUUGUUGAAAGGUUAAGUUGUAAAAUAUUAAAAUUUAUUAUAGCA